rnacentral:rRNA from 1 species
AUGGUCAAGCUACAAAGGGCGCAGGGCGAAUGCCUUGGCAUCAGAGGCCGAAGAAGGACGCGGUAAGCUGCGAAAAGCUACGGGGAACCGCAAGCAGGUUGUGAUCCGUAGAUAUCCGAAUGGAGCAAUCCAGCGUGAGUCAUGUCACGUUAUCCUACAGUGAAUACAUAGCUGUAGGAGGGGAACCGCCUGAACUGAAACAUCUAAGUAGGGCGAGGAAGAGAAAUCAAACGAGAUUCUGUAAGUAGUGGUGAGCGAAAGCGGAAUAGGCCAAACCAGAGGUAGAAAUACCUGUGGGGUUAUGGACUGCAUUUAGCAUUGGCAGAGACUAGCCGAAGUGUGUGGGAAAGCACGCCGAAGAAUGUGAGAGCCAUGUAGGCGAAAGUCAAAGCCAGCGAGCAGGAUCCAGAGUACCGCGGAGCACGUGGAAUUCCGUGGGAAGUCGGGGGGACCACCCUCCAAGCCUAAAUACCAUCUGAUGACCGAUAGCGAAGAGUACUGUGAAGGAACGGUGAAAAGCACCCCGGGAGGGGAGUGAAAGAGAACCUGAAACCCUGUGCCUACAAGCACACAGAGCACGUCAAAGUGUGAUGUGGUACCUAUUGUAGAAUGGUCCGGCGAGUAUAUGUCAGCAGCAAGGUUAAGCACUAGAGGUGCGGAGCCGAAGGGAAACCAAGUUUGAAUAGAGCGGCGAGUUGCUGGUAUAUGACCCGAAACCGGGUGACCUACCCAUGAUCAGGCUGAAGUGGGAGUAAAAUCCCAUGGAGGGCCGAACCGACCUCCGUUGAAAUGGCGGCGGAUGAAUUGUGGGUAGCGGAGAAAUUCCAAUCGAACCCGGAUAUAGCUGGUUCUCCCCGAAAUAGCUUUAGGGCUAGCCUCAUAUAAGAUUACCGGAGGUAAAGCACUGAAUGGUCUAGGGGUCGAGAGAUUACCGAAGCCUAUCAAACUCUGAAUGCCGGAUAAUCGCUGUAUGGGAGUCAGACUAUGUGAGAUAAGUUUCAUGGUCGAAAGGGAAACAGCCCAGAUCCACAGCUAAGGUCCCAAAGUACAUUUAAGUGGGAAAGGAUGUGGAACUGCUAAAACAACCAGGAUGUUGGCUCAGAAGCAGCCAUACAUUUAAAGAGUGCGUAAUAGCUCACUGGUCGAGUGGUUCUGCGCCGAAAAUUCAACGGGGCUAAAAUGUACACCGAAGCUUGGGCAAUGGAGCAAUCCAUUGGGUAGGGGAGCGUCGAAUGCGGGGUGAAGCAUGAGCGGAAGCGCGUGUGGACUGCAUUCGAGUGAGAAUGCCGGAAUGAGUAGCGCGAAUUAUGUGAGAAUCAUAAUGGCCGAAAGUCUAAGGAUUCAGGAGGAAGGUUCGUCCGCUCCUGGUGAGCCGGGAGCUAAGGUGAGGCCGAAAGGCGUAGCCGAUGCACAUACGGUUGAAAUUCCGUAGCCUCCGAAAUACUUAAGCACAGGGACAUCUUAGAAGGGACUGAGCCGGGCGUUGGUAGACCCGGUCGAAAGGGAGCGGAAUUGUCCGCGAAGCAGUCUUGGAAAAGGGCGAGAAAAGCUGUGUGGAUGUAAUAGGAGCCCGUACCGCAAACCGACACAGGUAGACAGGAAGAGGAUUCUAAGGCCAACGGGAGAAGGGUUGUUAAGGAACUCGGCAAGUUGACCCCGUAACUUCGGAAGAAGGGGUGCUCACGGAAGUGAGCCGCAGAGAAUAGGCCCAGGCAACUGUUUAGCAAAAACACAGGUCUCUGCUAAAUCGAAAGAUGACGUAUAGGGGCUGACACCUGCCCGGUGCCGGAAGGUUAAGAGGAGAAGUGAGAGCUUUGAAUUGAAGCCCCGGUAAACGGCGGCCGUAACUAUAACGGUCCUAAGGUAGCGAAAUUCCUUGGCAGGUAAGUUCUGUCCCGCACGAAUGGCGUAACGAUCUGGGAGCUG